ensembl:lncRNA
ACCCUGGGGUCCUGCAGCUCACCCUCCAGUUCGGAGACACAGGCGCCAUCUUUACGCUCUGCACGCCGCGCUCCAUGCCAGUACAAAGAAGGCAGAAGAAGUCACUAGGACAAGUCAGCAAUUCUGCAGCAUUUGAUGCAGGUUGUAGUGACUCCACGAGGUGGAUUCUUUACCCACUGAGCCACCUGGGAAGCUUCAAUCCGGAUCACUGCUGCUGCUGCUGCUGUGUCGCUUCAGUCAUGUCCGACUCUGUGUGACCCCAUAGACAUCAGCCAACCAGGCUUCCUGUCCCUGGGAUUCUCCAGGCAAGAACACUGGAAUGGGUUGCCAUUGCCUUCUCCGAUCUGGAUCACAGAGCCAAAAACUGGCUGAAUGAGGCAUCACCUCCCCUUUUAUUGCCAAAAACAGGACAUAUAAAUGUCUCCACCCAAACUUCUAGAAUGCAUUGGCUAAGAUGGCCACGGAUCAUCUGGUAAAUAAAGGAGAGGUCUUUUCU